rnacentral:misc_RNA from 1 species
UCCCCGUUAUCCUGGGCAGUCUCUCCAGAGUGCCCAACCUAAUGAUGGCAACUAAUGGCAAGGGUUGCGCUCGUUGCGGGACUUAACCCAACAUCUCACGACGCGAGCUGACGACAGCCAUGCAGCACCUGUCACCGACCAAUUGAAGAGCUCCGUCUCCGGAGCCCCGAUCGGGAAGUCAAGGGCUGGUAAGGUUCUUCGCGUUGCCUCGAAUUAAGCCACAUGCUCCGCCGCUUGUGCGGGCCCCCGUCAAUUCCUUUGAGUUUUAGCCUUGCGGCCGUACUCCCCAGGCGGGGUGCUUAAUGCGUUAGCUUCGGCACGGAAAGGGUUGAAGGCCUCCCCACACCUAGCACCCAACGUUUACGGCUGGGACUAC